rnacentral:lncRNA from 1 species
CCUGCCUCAGGGCUAAAUACCCCAAAGAGGAGGUGAGGAGAAAAGCGCGAGGCUGGAACUUCGAGGUAGUGGAAAGUGGUGUAGGCACGGCGGGUGUUAGCAGCGGGAAGCGGAGCUGCGCCUGAGGAGGGGCCCCGCGCUGCGAGCGCGGGUAUCCUGGGGCAGCUGCGACGCGAGGGAAGGAGCCGCGCUGCAGCAGGGGACGGGCGUGACGAGGGCGGAGUGGUGGGGAGGCACGGCCGCGUGCUGACCCAGUCCAAAGCAAUGGGGAGGUCACCAUGGAGGUCAGUCUGCAGUGCUCCUGAGAUGUCAGUUAGCAGAUGUUGCACCUAGUGAUCCUCCCUGCACUCCUGUGACGAACUGAAAAGCUAUACUGGCCAAGUCAAUCUAACAAUCUUCAGGAUGCAGUCCUGUUCAGGACUAAUCAAAGCAGUUAAAUUAGGUUCCUGCUCUUAAUUUCUGUUUACGGAAUGGGGUUCUCUCAGUGACUGCUGAGAAGCUUGACUACUACCAAGCUAGCUUGUGUAACCAUGCUUCCGUCAUUUGACAAUUUCGUACCUUGAGCUAUAGUUGUGAUUUGAGACACAGGAGGUGGCUAAGACCUACGUAAGACCAGGAGAGCACAUGAAUUACUUGGACUCUUAAUUGCUUUAUGAAGCUUUAUUUGUCAACUUUUUCCAAGGCCACUGUAGUUCUUCUGCCCAAGGUUGCGGUAAUAAUAAACUUCUGCUCUCUUGGAUAACUUGCA